CAAUAAGACAACGGGUGCAUUCAUGUGAGUGCUGAGAUUAUACCGGUUUAACUCGAUCAAGUUCGUACUUGCGUGAGGAUGUUCUUAUUGUGGAAU
rnacentral:ncRNA from 2 species